rnacentral:rRNA from 1 species
UACAGAGGUGGCAAGCGUUGUUCGGAAUUACUGGGCGUAAAGGGCGCGUAGGCGGUCCGAUAAGUCCUGUGUGAAAUCCCUCGGCUCAACUGAGGAACUGCACGGGAGACUGCCGGGCUUGAGUUCGGGAGAGGGAAGCGGAAUUCCGGGUGUAGCGGUGAAAUGCGUAGAUAUCCGGAGGAACACCGGUGGCGAAGGCGGCUCCUGGACCGACACUGACGCUGAGGCGCGAAAGCUAGGGGAGGCAAACGGG